AGCUGCGGUGUUUCCAUGUUUCCGAGUUGCCUCCCAGUAGUUCCUCUCAGUUCCAUUUCCAGUUGUUUUCAAGCCAUUAAAUUCUUUCCAGGCGAGAUAAGGGUCCCGCCCGUCCCACCCAGGGUGUGUCACGUGUAGGGGGGAGGUUCAGACGAACAGAAGCAGGAGAGCCUGGAAGGGGGAUGGAGCGAAGACGGAGCCCCUGUGCCCCUGGAGGCAUCUCUCAGUCAUCACAGCCCCGCUGAACCUUUUUUGGCCACACCACACGGCACGUGGGAUCCUAGUUCCCCAACCAGGGAUCGAACCCACGCCCCCUACAGUGGGAGCACGGAGUCUUAACCACUGGACCGCCAGAGAAGUCCCUUGGUUUUAUUAUUUAGGAAGUAUGGUCACCAUAGGUAUACUUGGCCCAGACAGUGGCCAGAAGACCCUGGAGAGAAAGAAGCAAGAGCUGAAACGAUGGCCCUGGGGUGUUUUGGAAGUCCACUUCUGGGGAGAGACGGGAUGCCAGAGUCAGAGAAGGGUGCGGGAUUCCAGACAUUCACAAGCUCACAGGGCAUUUGAAGAAGCCACUGGAGGCCUGACAGACAUAAUUCCAGAAAAGCACUGGGCCUCGCAUAGAGCAGCUGCUUCAUAAACGCCUGUCAAGGGCUUCCCUGGUGGCGCAGUGGUUAAGAAUCCGCCUGCCAUUGCAGGGGACACGGGUUCAAGCCCUGGUCCAGGAAGAUCCCACAUGCCGUGGAGCGACUAAGCCCGUGCGCCACAACUACUGAAGCCCGCGUGCCUAGAGCCCAUGCUCCACCACAAGAGAAGCCACCGCAGUGAGAAGCUCACCCACCGCAACGAAGAGUAGCCCCCGCUCUCCACAACUAGAGAAAGCCCGCGCGCAGCAACGAAGACCCAAUGCAGCCAAAAAUUUUAUAACUAAAAUAAAUAAAUAAA